rnacentral:rRNA from 1 species
CCCUAGUAACUGCGAGUGAAGCGGGAAAAGCUCAAAUUUGUAAUCUGGCGGUCUUGGGCCGUCCGAAUUGUAAACUAGAGAAGUGUUAUCCGCGCUGGACCGUGUACAAGUCCCCUGGAAUGGGGCGUCAUAGAGGGUGAGAAUCCCGUCUUUGACACGGACUACCAGGGCUUUGUGAUGCGCUCUCAAAGAGUCGAGUUGUUUGGGAAUGCAGCUCAAAAUGGGUGGUAAAUUCCAUCUAAAGCUAAAUAUUGGCGAGAGACCGAUAGCGAACAAGUACCGUGAGGGAAAGAUGAAAAGAACUUUGGAAAGAGAGUUAAACAGUACGUGAAAUUGCUGAAAGGGAAACGCUUGAAGUCAGUCGCGUUAACUAGGGAUCAGCCUUACUUCUGUGGGGUGUACUUCCUUGUUGACGGGUCAGCAUCAGUUUUGGCUGCUGGAUAAAGGCUAGGGGAAUGUGGCAUCUUCGGAUGUGUUAUAGCCCUUGGUUGGAUACAGUGGCUGGGACUGAGGAACUCAGCACGCGCAAGUUGUGCUUAGGAUGCUGGCAAAAUGGCUUUAAUCGACCCGUCUUGAAACACGGACCAAGGAGUCUAACAUGCCUGCAAGUGUUUGGGUGGAAAACCCGAGCGCGUAAUGAAAGUGAAAGUUGAGAUCCCUGUCGCGGGGAGCAUCGACGCCCGGAGCAGAACUUUUGGGACGCAUCCGCGGUAGAGCAUGUAUGUUGGGACCCGAAAGAUGGUGAACUAUGCCUGAAUAGGGCGAAGCCAGAGGAAACUCUGGUGGAGGCUCGUAGCGAUUCUGACGUGCAAAUCGAUCGUCGAAUUUGGGUAUAGGGG